rnacentral:rRNA from 1 species
GGAAUAUUGGACAAUGGGCGCAAGCCUGAUCCAGCCACGCCGCGUGAGUGAUGAAGGCCUUCGGGUCGUAAAGCUCUGUGGGGAGGGACGAACCGCUGGAUGUGCAUAGCAUCCAGCAUGACGGUACCUCCUUAGCAAGACCCGGCUAACUUCGUGCCCGCAGCCGCGGUAAUACGAAGGGUGCAAACGUUGCCCGGAAUUAUUGGGCGUAAAGCGAACGUAGGCGGCAUUGCAAGUCGGAUGUGAAAUCCCUCGGCUUAACCAAGGAAGUGCAUCCGAAACUGCCGUGCUUGAGUACUUAAGAGGAUCGCGGAAUUCCCGGUGUAGAGGUGAAAUUCGUAGAUAUCGGGAGGAACACCAGUGGCGAAGGCGGCGAUCUGGGAAGAUACUGACGCUGAGGUGCGAAAGCGUGGGGAGCA